AAAGGGCUCGACUUAUAGGAGACGUAAAGGGUUGCAUGCCGAGCGGUGUGGGCCUGCUGCGUUAGUGAGGCUUACAAAAAACUAAACGCAACACCACUAUUUGCUGGUGUAAGUAACCCAUCUCCAUGGGUUACUCCUUUUAGUAUGGCAGUAAUGCCACACUAAAAGUGACCUUUAUGCUUUUUGUCUCAGGGGGCAUAAGGGUUCGGUUUUGAGGCUAAGGGUAAGCUUUUUAUCUUGGGGGUUUACCACGAAAACUUACAAGAUUGCUUCUUGGUAGAUCUUGUCUUUCAGAGCUACCAAGAAAAAGAUAAAAGAAAGAAUAAGCAUGUAGUAGCUUUUUAUUAACCCUGUAAGGACGCGGGUUCGAUUCUUGCA
rnacentral:tmRNA from 1 species